AUUUUGUACAAUAGGGGCAACCCUGCUCCAGCCAUCCCGCGUGUAUGAUGAAGGCAUACGGGUUGUAAAGUACUUUUGCUAGAGAAGAAAAGGUACCUCCUAAUACGAGGUACUGCUGAAGGUAUCUGAAGAAUAAGCACAGCAUAACUAGUUGCCAGCACCCGAGCUAAUCCGUAGGGUUCAAGCGUUAAUCGGAAUUACUGGAUGUAAAGCAAGUGUGGGCGAUUCGGAAAGAAAGUUGUGAAGUCCAAGGGCUCAACCUUGGAACUGCAGUUUAAAUUACAGAGGUUGGGUAGAUCGGGGGGGGGAAGAAUGCAAUGUGAAGAGGUGAGUUGAGAAGAUAUGUGAUGGAAUACAAAAGCGGAAGGCAGCCCCUGGGAUAAUACUGACGCUCAGACACGAAAGCGUAGGGAGCAAACAGG
rnacentral:rRNA from 1 species